GAUGAACGCUGGCGGCGUGCCUAAUACAUGCAAGUCGAGCGAACAGACGAGGAGCUUGCUCCGCACACGUUAGGGACGGACAGGUGAGUAACACGUGGAUAAACUACCUAUACGAAUGGGAUAACUUCGGGAAACAGGUGCUAAUACCGGCUAAUAUCUUGAAACACAUGAUUCCAUAGUGAAAGACGGUUUUGCGGUCACUUAUAGAUCGAUCCGCGCUGCAUUAGCUAGUUGGUAAGGUAACGGCUUACCAAGGCAACGAUGCGUAGCCGACCUGAGAGGGUGAUCGGCCACACUGGAACUGAGACACGGCCCAGACUCCUACGGGAGGCAGCAGUAGGGAAUCUUCCGCAAAGGGCGAAAGUUUGACGGAGCAACGCCGCGUGAGUGAUGAAGGUUUUCGGAUCGUAAAACUCUGUUAUUAGGGAAGAACAAAGGUGUAAGUAACUAUGCACGUCUUGACGGUACCUAACCAGAAAGCCACGGCUAACUACGUG
rnacentral:rRNA from 1 species